rnacentral:rRNA from 1 species
UACGAAGGGGGCUAGCGUUGUUCGGAAUUACUGGGCGUAAAGGGCGCGUAGGCGGUACUUCAAGUCAGGCGUGAAAGCCCCGGGCUCAACCUGGGAACCGCGCUUGAGACUGGAGAACUAGAGUUCGGGAGAGGAUGGUGGAAUUCCCAGUGUAGAGGUGAAAUUCGUAGAUAUUGGGAAGAACACCGGUGGCGAAGGCGGCGCUCUGGACCGAGACUGACGCUGAGGCGCGAAAGCGUGGGGAGCAAACAGG